GUAAAAUUGUGUACAUAAUCUAAUGUAAAAAGGCAUGAUCAUGAAGUGCUGAAAUUAUAUUCUGGUUGGAUUUUAUAUUCAUACAAUGGAUAUUACUCUCUUAAAGAGAGGUGCUUCAAUCAAUAUUGAAGGAAUAUACCUGUGAAGAAGAAGAAGAAGCAGAUAAAAUCUGACGCAAUUUUGAAAGGAAAGCUGAAGAAGAACGAGGGACAGGAAAGAGUAUCGUCGCUGAAAAUCACACUGGCCAUAGCUUUCGCAGAAGCGGUGGUUCCAACGCCGCGGCGGUGGAGGAUUCGUCGAAGAAGCGGUGGAUAAAUAUGGCCGGCUGACUACAUUACGGUCCUGGUAUCACUUGCAGCACACCUGGAGGUUCAGUAACUGUAACGGAGUUGGUUCCUAAUCCUAUGGUGAUUGUCCCGGAUUCUUCUAGUAAUUCCAACGAUUUGACUGAACCUGUUCCACCGAAUUUGAUACCUAAGAGGCCACCCCUUACGACCAUUGAUAGUAAUGUGAUAGACAUUGUUCAGCCUAAAAGGGAAAUCUCAGAUAAUGGUAGAUUUGCUGUGCCGGUGUCAUCAGCAUAAAAGAUCGAAAAACAAACAGUAUUCCAAAGAAAACUAGGGAUGCAAAUAAAUGGGCUUUGAAGGUAUGGUCUGACUGAGCAAAAUUUAGAAACAGCCAGCCAGCUUCUGUAUUGGAAAGUAGUUUUCCAAUCCCGGAAGAUAUAGGUGAUUUAGAUGACAGUAUGAUCAACUUCUGGGGUCAACGAUUCAUUAUGGAAGUUAAGAGACAAGAUGGUAAAGACUACCCCCUAAUACACUGACUCAGAUUGUCAGUGGCUUGCAGAGAUAUCUUACUACUAUUUGUAAUAGAAACAACAUCAACUUUUUCGUGAAGGAAGUCAGUUCAGUGAAUUUCGUAGAUGUAUUGAUACAAGAAUGAAAGAACUCCAUGCACAGGGAGUUGGAAUUAAAAGUAAUUCUCCAGAUCCUGUUACUAUGGAAGCUGAAUUACAGUUUUGGGAGUCAGGUGUUUUUAAUUUUGACACAUCUGUAGGUUUGAGCAACUCUGUGUUUUUUUAUAACGGGAAAUUAUUCGGAUUUAGAGGGUUUCAGGAACAUGUCAGUUGCCAAGCAGACCAAUUUGAGAUACGUAAAGAUAGUGCGAAGGACUUACGUUAUAUCAAGUUUACUCUCGGAUUUCGCAAAAAUUCGCAAUGGGGACUGAAGAGCCGGAACCCUGCAAAUAAGCCACUUGUUCACUACGAGCAAAAAGAUAGAAAAUAUUCUAUAGUUGACCUGUACGAACGGUAUUUGUCAUUAAUACCAAGGGUUGGUGCUUUAUACAGGAAACCUGUCGGUAAUUAUGAUGAAAAUGGUUCACCAAAAUUUUGUGCUGCUUCAAUAGCACAGCACGCUAUCAAAUCUAUGAUUAAGAGAUUUUACGCGGAAGCUGGGAUUGAUACAAAUGACCGUAAAAUAAGUAAUCACUCUGCUAGGGUUACCUUGUGUACUACACUGUGUAAUAAAAACUUUCCUGACAAAGCCGUUAUGAGUCGAAGCAAGCACAAAAGUUCAGCUGUUCAGUUUUACCAGAGGGAACAGUUUGAAAAUUUAAAUAAUAUCAGUAAAGCACUCGAACCCAGUGUGUUGAAACCAAAGUGUGAUGAAAACCCUUCGAUUUAGACUGUUGCAGCUACGACAUCUUCUUGUAAGGGUAUAAAGACUGAAUCUGGUGUAAAAUCUAAUAUAAAGAAUUAAUUUGAUGUAAAAUCUUUGAAUGAUAGCUCUGUAAAAAAUGAUGAAGAUACUUUAAUUAUUAAUGUUCCAGGCAGUGUGUAAAAGUUAAUAAUCCAAAAGAAGGAUGGAAAAAAAGAUCAUAAUUGAAGUGUAAAGUUUAUAAGUUCAGACGGUGAACUUCCCUUGAAAACUGAAUAGUUCAAUUAUUCUUUAUUAUCAAAACUAUAAAUUCAGUAAAUAUUACUGGAAGGUGAUUUUGGAUUAUUAUAAUAUUAUAUUUUAAGGAUAUUAUUAGCUAAGGUAAGCUGCUUUGGUUUUAGCUGUUUAGGAUCAACUGUCCUGUAUUAAAGUUAAAACAUUU